rnacentral:rRNA from 1 species
GACGAAGGGGGCUAGCGUUGUUCGGAAUUACUGGACGUAAAGCGCGUGUAGGCGGUUGUUCAAGUCAGGUGUGAAAGCCUUGAGCUCAACUCAAGGAAUGCACUUGAUACUGGAUGACUAGAGGACCGGAGAGGAUAGUGGAAUUCCCAGUGUAGUGGUGAAAUACGUAGAGAUUGGGAAGAACACCAGUGGCGAAGGCGGCUACCUGGACGGUUUCUGACGCUAAGACGCGAAAGCGUGGGGAGCAAACAGG